rnacentral:misc_RNA from 1 species
AAAGAGGUUCAAUGGCAAUUUAUUGAGAAUGACGAGGAUCAUCCUGAUCAUGUGAAUGAGAACCAUGGAGUUUUACUUACCGUUGGUUUCUUGCCAGGAUUGAAAGUCAGUUUGAUCCCUUUGUUAUCGAAAACUCGGGGAACUCAAGCACUUAUGAUUGAUGAACUUGUGCGAAAUAUCAGGGAAUGCUCGUCCUCUGUUUCUGGUUCCGCAUCGCCGGUGGCUAUUCUGUUAUUUUCGGAUCACGAAACUGACAUGAAACCGGUUCUUCAAAAGUUGGAUUAUGCCUUCUGCCAAGAGACUGUAAUUGUGGGUGAAGGAGGUUCACAGUUCUUAUAUCAAGGGGAAGCUGCAGUAGACCAUUCUAAUGACGCAGAAUACAGUUCCGCUGCUGUUGCUCUUUCCUUUCUCAGGGAUACUGGCAAUCCUCCUGGUGUAGGGGAAACUCAAUUUCAUGUAGUGCUAGCCCCUGGCAUGGCCCAAAUUGGGCCUACCUACAAGGCUGUCGCGGUCAGGGAGAGACCUAGAGACUUUUCUACUUGGCUCACGGCGAAAAGAGAAGCACAAGUUGAAAGUCUUGAUGGUCUGACUAUGUUCGAUCAGAUCUAUGAUGAGUAUGGAGGUGAUCUUUAUUGUUCUGCUCUCUAUAUUGGAGUUUCUAAAAGAAGAAAGUGCUCAAUUGGGAAGGAAAAAGCAAGUUGGAUAUAUUUGCAGGAAUUCCAUGAGGUUUUAAGAGGGGAUGAGGAGUAUCUGUAUGUUAACGGUGUUGGAAUCAGAAGUGGAGACUCCUUCCAAUUCUACCUUGCGAAUGCUAAUGCUACACGUGAUUCUUGCAACAAUGCAUCAAACAACAUAACACGUCUGAAGCGAGAUCUCGACCACCAAAAUGCUGGUUGUUCUACCUAUAAGAAGUCAGUUUUUGGUUGUCUUAUGUUCUCUUGCUGUGGUCGUGGCGAGUUUUUUCUUCAACCUAUCCUUGAUUGCUCACCCUUCGUGGAUAACUUUCCUGGGAUUACUUUUUCUGGAACUUUUUCUGCUGCAGAAAUUGCACGUGGAGAUUUAAGCCAAUAUGGACCCGUGUCUGAAGAACGCAGCUCUCUACGCUGCUGUUUGCAUGUGUAUAGCACUGUCUACCUGAUUAUGUCAUUCACCCCUGCAUCACCAUCGACAUAAUAGGUGCUGGAAGCAUUAUAAUUUACAUCUGUAGUUGCUACAGAUCAUGUUGCCAUUGACAUUUUAUGAUAGCACUAUAGUUUAUUUCAACAAAGCCAUUGGAGCCUGUUCUACAGCCAAAUUUGGCCUUUUACUUACUUUUAAUCCUUCUGUUGUAACUUUAUAUUUAUGUAUAUUAAGCUCCGGUCUAUUUAGCACUUGAAACUUG